rnacentral:sRNA from 1 species
GCUACAACCGCUCUGAAAAGGUUCAAGCAUUCGAGUGAUCGAAUCACCUUUUGUAAGGCGAGUCUUAGUCUAA